rnacentral:tRNA from 1 species
CCCUGGUUAGUUCAGUUGGUAGAGCGCUCCACUUGUAAUGGAGAGGUCCCGGGUUCGAUACCCGGACCAGGCG